rnacentral:rRNA from 1 species
CUCGUAGGCGGUUCGUCGCGUCCGGUGUGAAGGUCCAUCGCCUAACGGUGGAUCUGCGCCGGGUACGGGCGGGCUGGAGUGCGGUAGGGGAGACUGGAAUUCCCGGUGUAACGGUGGAAUGUGUAGAUAUCGGGAAGAACACCAAUGGCGAAGGCAGGUCUCUGGGCCGUUACUGACGCUGAGGAGCGAAAGCGUGGGGAGCGAACA